GCAUCAAAUGUGAGAUUUACAAGGAGGGAAAACAGUACACCUCUCUGAACAGUGUCUGGGAGGCUGUGGUUGCUGCUGCACGCAAUGUUGAUGGUGAACAGAUCAAAACACUGACAGAAUCCAUGGAUGGCAGGCUUUUGAGUGUCCUUGCAAAGAAAGGUGGCUAUAUUGGUCGCUGAUUUGUUUUUGUUUUGUUUUUGAAUGUCAGAAAUGUAUAUUUGUGAAUGUGGAGAUGUUAUAUUGGUUUCACUGGUAAAAAUAAAUGAUUGAAAUGGGUAUAUAUUUGUUUUUUGUUAAGUUGCCUAAUAAUUAUGCACAGUAAUAGUCACCUGCACACACAGAUAUCCCCCUAAAAUAGCUAAAACUAAAAACAAACUAAAAACUACUUCCAAAAACAUUCAGCUUUGAUAUUAAUGAGUUUUUUGGGUUCAUUGAGAACAUGGUUGUUGUUCAAUAAUAAAAUUAUUCCUCAAAAAUACAACUUGCCUAAUAAUUCUGCACUCCCUGUAUGAGAGUUUUGGUAAAAAAAAAAAAAAAAAAAA
ensembl:lncRNA